UAUUUUGCAAGGAUUAAACAGAUAGGUAUGCUUUACCACCAUUGUUGUUUAAAUAAUGUUUAGUGAUAUUAAAAAAAAAAGAUAUUUUGCUUCAUGAAAAACGGAUAGGAUAUUAUUAUUAUAUUCCCUACAUGGACGCGGAACAUGUUUUCUAAGGAAACUUUAGCAUUAGUACUAGCACUGUUCGUUGAUAUGGUAUUUGCCGAAUGUUCAGUUGGCUGCCAAACAUGCUCUGGUUCAACUUGCACAAGUUGUAAAUCAUCUUACUUUUUAUCAAAUGGCUUGUGUUCAUCAUGUCCCGAAAAUUGUGAAAGUUGUAAUACUACCGAUGACUUUACUUUA